rnacentral:sRNA from 1 species
CAAACAAAUCAAAACCAAAGCCAGAACAAAUAUAUAAAUCAAUUGAAUUUAAUAUUAAUUGAAAUGAGUCGAAUCUUUUCUUCCCAGACAAUGCGGACAGUUUUUUGUUUGUCCGUUUUUUAAAGUUACACACAUUUUUAGGACUCACUGCCAAAUAAGCCCAGACAGGCAGGCCUAAUUCUCUGGGGUCCAAGUCUGACUCGGGAUUAAUGGGGAGACUCCAUGUUACGAUUCGCAGGUAUUUGUAGAUUCCUGCUACAGCACGAACAUGUGAGAGCAGCAGAACUUGUGGGUUUGCUCCCUGCCCUGUUUAAUAAGAACAGGCUGUGGUUUGGAGGAAAUCUGUCAGAACCAGGACACGGCAUCCCCAGUCCCAGUGGAAAACCUCCCAAAGCUAAACGUGGCUGUGAGAUAUUCGGCUGCUAAGAAAUACUGAGGGGGCUGGAGAGGUGUCCCAUGCCUGCAGUCCCCGUUCUUGGAAGGCUGAGGCAGGAAGACCAGUCUGAGGCCAACCUGGGCCACACGGUAUUUAGUAAAAUCUUUCCGAAAGAGAGAAGGAAAGAAAAUGUUGGGGUGGGGGAGGGUAGACGGGGAAGGGAAGGGAGAGGACACAAAAUUCAGAGAGGAUGUAAAAAGGAAGUGAGUCGGGUGGCUGCCUGGCUGCAUUCCCCAGUGUUGUGAGCUCACAAACCUGACGACACUUCCUGAAGGUGUCCACCCAGACUGGCCACAAGGGGGCAUGAGAGCCAACGUCUUGGCUUUUGUUUUCUUUUUUCCCCCUGGAUUCUCUCUGACUGAGAACACAUUGGGGGAGGACCCAGAGGGCAGAGGCACUACUGGAUGAGUCCUUGUGGCUCAGUGCCACAGGAGCAGUGACUCAGGCACUUCAUCCUUGGGUGUCUCAAAACCGUGCGAGAGCCGGCACAAAGGUCUCCCUCGCUUUCUAAGCACAUUCCUGCUCUGCCUGUGAAUUAUUACACCGGGGACGGGGAGGAGGGCGGAACAAACCAGUAUCCUAAACUGACACUAGCGGCGCAAACCCCGAAGGAGUCUGUGGUGGGUACGGAGCAGAGCGCAGGUCCAUCUUCAGGGGGUCAGGUCAAGGUCAAGAUGGUGCCCUUGGCAUAAAUGACGAGAGUGGCUGGCUCUCAAUGCCUGGUUUCUCAGGUAAGAGCCAAGCCUCAUAUACCCGGCUGCAGGCUGGCUUGGGGACUGUCGUACCAGACCAUCGGCGUGGUGGAACUUUCCGAUCAGCAGAACACUGCCCCAAGACCAUAUCUGGACUUAAACCUCAGGCAUCACCAGGCACCACCAGGCAGCAUGGCAGAGAUAUUUGAGGCACACAAAGCAGACCGUACGACGGAUACAUUAAGUGGAAUCCAGACUCCAUGAGUUAUCUGUCGAUGGUAGUCUCCCUAAGUCAAUCAUGGUACAGCCAGGUCCAUGAGCAACCUGCAAGUGCGAGGCCAUCUUCAGACUCUGUAAGAGGCAUCUGCAGUAAAGGCUGGCCAGCAGGAGCCUCUGGGAGUUUCCUGAGUGUGGGCAGACAGUCUGGAUUUAGGAGUCAUUUCCUGUGCUCGUGAGACUCAUUGGAUAUACAAAGUGAACCACCAGGCACUAUUCUGGAUCUGUCAUUAACUAUGCAAUUUUGGUCACAUUUUCUGAGUACCCUCAGCCUCCACCCCAUCUUUGAACCAAUAAACAGUAGCAGCCUAUCUUCAGACUUAUCACCCUGUGACUCUCUAACCCAUGUGUUUUGCCAACACCAAAGUCAACCCCCUUUAAACUCACCCCAUGACAUCCUGUUCUGCUAUCUUUAGACUCCAUGGGCCCUCACUUUUCUUCUGGUGUAUCACACAGCAUAAUAAUCAGGUGACUGAAUUGGGGGUGUCACCUGUCUGCCAAAGGAUACUAAUGACUUUGCUCACACUGUAUUUUUCAGAAAUGACAGCAUGUAACCUUUGCUUUGUCCGUUGGUUCACUGAAUGGUUCAUAAAUGCAACGGCAAAGUACUUGGAGCCAUCCUGGACUGGACACUGUGGUGGCCAUCCAGGAACACAGUGCACUAAAGCCAGGCCACACCCUCAGGGUGUGCGUGCUCUGUGGGAAUGCACAACUAAAUGCAACUAAAUAACAAUAUAAUUCUACCAGGAAGAUCUGUGCGUGUGGAAGGCAGAGGGAAGGGGCCAGGAGAUAAGGAUGAGCGACGCAGAAGGAGGGGACAUAUCUGAUGGAGUGAGGUUGGGAGUCAGAGGCACGGA